rnacentral:rRNA from 1 species
AGCUGAUAUCAGGCUCGCCCAAAACAUCUAGCCAUGCCACACCCCCAAGGGCUCUCAGCAGUGAUUAACAUUAAAAAUUAACGUCAGUUAGAUUUAGUUAAAGAAAAUAGAACCGGCCAAUCCGGUGCCAGCCGCCGCGGUUACACCACAGAGGUUCAAAUUGAUUCGGCGUAAAGCGUGAUUAAAGUAGGGUCGAACUUCAACUAGGCUGUAACACGCCUGUUCUUUGGAAGACCUGUUUCGAAAGACACCCUAACCUAUCAACUUGAACUCACGAUAACUGGGUCACAAACUGGGAUUAGAUACCCCACUAUGCCUAGUCAUAAACCUUAACUUACAUCGCCAGGGAACUACGAGCAAAGCUUAAAACCCAAAGGACUUGACGGUGCCCCAUCCCCCUAGAGGAGCCUGUCCUAUAACCGAUACUCCCCGUUUAACCUCACCAUUUUUAGCAGCUUGUAUACUUCCGUCGCCAGCUUACCGCGUGAGCGAGUAAGCCUAAUGCCAAUAUGUCAGGUCAAAGUGCAGCUUAUAAAAUGGAAAAAGAUGGGCUACACUUUCUACCGUAGAAAAUACGAAAGAAUAUGUGAAACAGAAGGCGGAUUUAGUAGUAAAAAGAGAAAAGAGUGCUCUUUUUAACACGCACUGGGGCGUGUACACACCGCCCGUCACCCUCUUC